CUGCAUCGGAAACGGCGCGACUCGAGCGGAUGAGAGGAGAGCGGAACGUAUGGUGUAGGGGUGAAAUCCACUGAUAUCAUACGGAACACCAAAAGCGAAGGCAGCUCUCUAGUGUCUUGCUGACGGUCAAUCACGAAAGCGUGGGGAUCAAAAAGGAUUAGAUACCCUUGUAGUCCACGCCCUAAACUAUGCACACUAGCUAUUGGGAGCAUCGACCCUUCCAGUGGCGAAGCUAACGCGUUAAGUGUGUCGCCUGGGAAGUACGAUCGCAAGAUUAAAACUCAAAGAAAUAGGCGGGACUUCGCACAAGCAGUGGAUCAUGUGGUUCAAUUCGACUCUAACCGAGAAACCUCACCAGGGCUUGAAAUCCGAUGGAAAUCCCCGGGAAACCGGGGACCCCGAAAGGCCGUCGGACAGGUGCUGCACGGCUGUCGUCAGCUCGUCUCGUGAGAGGUCUCCUUAAGUGGAUCAACGAGCGCAACCCCUAGGGUGUGUUACAAGUGUCACAUCCGACUGCUGCGGUAACGCAGAGGAAGGUGGGGAUGACGUCAAGUCAGCGUGGCCCUCUGAUGCCCUGGGCUACACACAUGAUACAAUGGACGCGACAACGGGUCGCCAAGCCGCGAGGUGGAGCCAAUCCCAUCAAACGCGUCCUCAGUUCGGAUAGGAGGCUGCAACUUGCCUCCUUGA
rnacentral:rRNA from 1 species